rnacentral:rRNA from 1 species
GACGAACGCUGGCGGCGUGCUUAAUACAUGCAAGUCGAACGGAAAGACCCGGCUUUUGUGGGGUGCUCGAUUGGCGAACGGGGGAGUAACACGUGAGUAUCCUGCCCUUGACUUUGGGAUAAAAUUAGGGAACUGCGGCUAAUACCGCAUAGGAGCUCUUGAUGCAUGUGGGGGGUUGGAAAGUUUCGGCGGUGGUGGAUGGACUCGCGGCUUAUCAGCUUGUUGGUGGAGUAGUGGCUUGCCGAGGCUUUGACGGGUAGCCCGCCUGGGGGGGUGACCGGCGACCCAGGCACUGAGGUGCGGCCCCGACUCCUACGGGACGCAGCAGUGCGAAAUCUUGCACGAUGGGCGGCAGCCUGAUGCAGCAACGCCGCGUGCGGGAUAACGGCCUUAUGGUUGAAAACCGAAUUCGCCAGUGACGAAGCGUGAGUGACGGGAACGUGUACAGAAGCCCCGGCUUACCACGUG